rfam:Salmo salar isolate Sally breed double haploid chromosome ssa10, whole genome shotgun sequence.
UGCACUCACUACUGUAAGUCGCUCUGGAUAAAAGCAUCUGCUAAAUGACUAAAA